rnacentral:lncRNA from 1 species
CCGCCUCUCCACAGCCCUAGCCCUGUGUGUGCAUCCAGGUGGAGGAGCAGCCUUAGCCAGCUCCUAAGCUUCUUAGCCGGGCUGAAUAUUGGCGGGGACAGAGAUGAGGUUGAGAGAUAAGAAGGAAGGCGUCGAUGGGGCUUCUUCCCUUUCUUCUACUGGGAGCAGAAGAGUUGAGCCCUGCUGCCUCAGUUUACCCAUCCCCUCUUCACAGAAGAACUGAGGAUGAUUGGAUGAACAAAUUGCAGUAUGCAAUGGAAUAUUACUCAGCCGUGAAGAGUACUGAUACAUGCUACUACUACGUGGAUGAAGCUCCAAAACAUUAUGUUAGUUGAAAGAAGCCCGACAUAGAAGGUCACAUAUUAUACGAUUCAAUUUAUAUGAAAUAUCCAG